GUAUCCGGUCGUUCCGGCCCCAAACCGAUCCGGCCCCAAGUCAAUCCGGCCCAAAGUCGAUCCGGCCCAAGUCGAUCCGGCCCACGUCGAUCCGGCCCCAAGUCGAUCCGGCCCCAUAAUAAAAUAAGAAAUAACUAUAUUGAUCUUGGAGGAAAUUGUGACACAGUAUAAAUGGAAUUUGCAAAAAGUGUCCGAUGAUGGAUGACAACAGGUAAGUGAAGUAUUGGAGUACCAGUUAAAGAACUA
rnacentral:lncRNA from 1 species